rnacentral:pre_miRNA from 7 species
ACUUGGACUUGAGUUUAUCAUUGAAGGAGUUACAACUGAAAGAACCUAGUGGGGAAACCCCCACUCAAUUCCUGAUUCGGUGUGCACCCAAGAAUCACGAACAGACGA